GCAAUGCAUUCUUAAGAUGGAGGAGAUUAAUGAACCCUCCCCCCUUACAAUGAACAACACAUGGACACUCUGAGGAUGAUCCCUUUGCUUCCAUUAAGAGUUCCAAGAUGUGGGUCUGAUUGACGGGGGUGUGAAAUGUAACAGCCAAUGGUGUACUUAAGCUAGGACUGACAGUCCCAAUUUUCAAGAGCAAUGCAUUCUUAAGAUGGAGGAGAUUAAUGAACCCUCCCCCCUUACAAUGAACAACACAUGGACACUCUGAGGAUGAUCCCUUUGCUUCCAUUAAGAGUUCCAAGAUGUGGGUCUGAUUGACGGGGGUGUGAAAUGUAACAGCCAAUGGUGUACUUAAGCUAGGACUGACAGUCCCAAUUUUCAAGAGGAAAAACCCCUACAUAAACAAAUACAUGGGCGCAGACAUUUUGGACACCCAAAGUUGUGCGGAGGAGAAAAUGCUAGCUGGCGCAUGGUUGGUCAAUAAGAGAAAAGACUUGUUAUGUAUCUGACUAGUGAAAUAAAGUUGAUAAAAAUCUCAUAGCAAGACUUGGGAUUCUUUGAGAUAUAUAGGAGUUACAGGUAAAAAUUUGAA